UACGGGGGGGGCAAGCGUUGUUCGGAAUUACUGGGCGUAAAGGGCUCGUAGGCGGCCAACUAAGUCAGACGUGAAAUCCCUCGGCUUAACCGGGGAACUGCGUCUGAUACUGGAUGGCUUGAGUUUGGGAGAGGGAUGCGGAAUUCCAGGUGUAGCGGUGAAAUGCGUAGAUAUCUGGAGGAACACCGGUGGCGAAGGCGGCCCCCUGGCUCGUACCUGACGCUCAGCCACGAAAGCAUGGGGAGCGAACGGG
rnacentral:rRNA from 1 species